GAUGAACGCUGGCGGCGUGCCUAAUACAUGCAAGUCGAGCGAACAGACGAGGAGCUUGCUCCUCUGACGUUAGCGGCUGACGGGUGAGUAACACGUGGAUAACCUACCUAUAAGACUGGGAUAACUUCGGGAAACCGGAGCUAAUACCGGAUAAUAUAUUUAACCGCAUGGUUCAAUAGUGAAAGACGGUUUUGCUGUCACUUAUAGAUGGAUCCGCGCCGCAUUAGCUAGUUGGUAAGGUAACGGCUUACCAAGGCAACGAUGCGUAGCCGACCUGAGAGGGUGAUCGGCCACACUGGAACUGAGACACGGUCCAGACUCCUACGGGAGGCAGCAGUAGGGAAUCUUCCGCAAUGGGCGAAAGCCUGACGGAGCAACGCCGCGUGAGUGAUGAAGGUCUUCGGAUCGUAAAACUCUGUUAUUAGGGAAGAACAAAUGUGUAAGUAACUAUGCACGUCUUGACGGUACCUAAUCAGAAAGCCACGGCUAACUACGUG
rnacentral:rRNA from 1 species